rnacentral:rRNA from 1 species
AUCGAAUACAACACGACUUCAACUUUAUCCUAUUUUUCAAGAAAUGGAACAUUUGUUAUUGAUGAACCUGAGAAGAUUUCAUUUUACACAAAUAAGAACAAUUUCACAAAUAAUUAGACCAACUAUCCAUUAUAUAAUCAUUGUCAUCUGGAUAUCUAGCCUAUAUGUACCUGCUUUGUGACUUGGUGAUGACCAUGUGGCUUGGUUGCAUUGCUAUUUUGAGCAUGAUCAUUCUGCAAUUAAAUAGGAAUACGCGUGAAGGGAGACACGUGGCCAACUAUAAUCAAGAAUGAUAGCUUUGAAGAGUUCCAUUACAUGAAGUUAGUAAGGAGCCUUAUUCCACACGCACUUUCGGUUGCGCACUUUGCUUUCAAAUUAGAUUAAAGUCUUAUUACAAAAUUAUUUAUUGUGAAAACUUUGCAAGAAUGCAGCAAGCAAACAAAUGAAGUUCAAGUCAUGUAAAUUUAUACACUAAAAACAGGAUUGACCUAAUAUUCAAGGGCCAGGGUGUUCCUCAACAUCUAUGCAAGGUUUCCACCAAAAAGACCAUGUAUGCAAGUUUGGUGUUUUAUUAGUACUCAUGUAUCAAUUCAAAAUUGAUUAAUUAGUUUCUUUGAAUACGAGAUCUCUUGGAGCAGCAAUGAUAUGUGUGUGACUAAAUUUUGGUCCCAUCGGGCCAAAUCAUGUUGCUGUUGUAUGCAAUACAAUUUUUUAAUACUUGGUUGAAUCCGACUUAUGAUCUGCUAGCGGUGUCACGACAUUUUUUGAAACGACCUUGUCAAAAUGGGAUUGGUGUUUCAUAAUAAUGUCAUUUACCUUGCACUUACAUACAAAAUUAGACAACCUCUUGUAUAAUCAUUGUCAUUUAGAUAUGUAGCAUAUGUUUACCUGGUUAGUGACUUGGUGAAGUCGUAAACUUGGUUCAGGGCCACCUUGCUGCACUGCAAGAUUAUUUUCAGCAUGGACAUUCUGCAAUUUAAUAGGAAAAGAUGUCAUCGUCAUCAUUGAUAAAAAUCUAGAUAAGUCCUUGCACGUAGGUUAAUAUUACUAGGAAGGUAUAUACGAACCCAAACAGGUUACAGUUGCAAACCAAAAGGUUAAUAUUUCACAAAGUUUUAACUUGAUGAUAAGAUAGCUUUCCAAUAUUUAACUACUAAAAGGGUUCAACCAAUCCCAAAAUUACUGGCAGGAGAUAAUUGAUAAUUGAGUACAAGUUAGUUAACACACCUUAGUGAUCACAUGUUCAUGUGGUAAAUGCGCAUUGCCACAACCCUCUUUUGAUUUCGUUUGCUGCAACUCCUAUUAAAGCAAUAGUUCUAAGACAUUAGAAUGGAUCUGCAUUAAAUAGUACAUAAAAAGCCCAUUACAUUACCUGCAUGGUAGUUUGUGGCUCCUGCACAUCAUUAUUUGAUUGUUCAAGAACAUUAUAAGAUUCAGAUUGGAGAUUGUUAUCUCUGUCAUGUGGAGUGACCUGCAAUAAAAUUAUUGUAAUAGCAUAUCAGUGUUCAUUAAUUUCAUCUUUGCACAAAUAUAACUGCUUUUGAUAUGCUAACUUGAUAAUUUUCUGUAGGAGAAUCCACUUCAUUUCUGCAAAUCUCUCCAGGAAACUUUUUGGCAAGGAAUGCAGCAAUCAUAGCCAUCUGACCUCUGACAUCCCCUACAUCACCUUUGACUUCCUUUACAUCACCUUUGACGUCCUCUACAUCAUCUUUGACAUCUUCUACAUUAUCUUUCACCAUGCGUACUUCAAACUGAAGAUUUUCUUGGUCAGAUUUCCCAACAAAAGUUAUUCCCCGAGAAACAUUUACUCCGCUCCAAUACUUUUCAUCAUAGUAACCUCGAAGUUUUGCCCUUUUAUCAAGUGCACCUUUAAAGGCUUCAGUAUAAUCGUCAAUGGAAAGGCUACCAUUAUGAUCGAUUUUCCUUUUUUUAACUCCUCAUUAGCUGCAUCCUAUUGAAUAGGAAUAAUUAUUAAUUCAUUACUAUACUAUGGAAUAGAUUGUAUGUUGGACUGUAGACAAAAUAAGUAGAAUGUACCAUUAUUGUCCUCACAUUGUCGCUUGUGUAAUU